rnacentral:misc_RNA from 1 species
GAGAAAUAUACAUACAGUAUUCAGAGAAAACAAAAUUGUAGGCAGACCUUAAAUCAUAAAAUUGCAAACCAAAAAUCAAGUAAAUUUCAAUGAGUUGUGCAAAUCCAAUAAACCAAUAAUGAUAAAAAGCAAAGUAGCUAAGCAACUUGGAACCUGUAGUUUUAUGUGACUUCAACCCUGAAGUGGGGAAGGCAACACUUUUAUAAAAGGGUUCCCUACUCCAUUAGAGCUGGAGAGACAUGCUCCCAAAGUAAUCUUAGACCUUAGUGACUUGGUUCAGAACUUAUAACCUAUCAAGAUCUUCCCAUGUGUACCCUUUGGAAUAAAACCAGCUUUUUCACCCAAGCGAUCGCCAACCAUAUGAGACCCAACUUUCCGGCAUGGAUUUAAUUUGUACUUCUUAAAGGGACCACAAACAUUGGC